ACCGACAACAAUAACAAGACCGCGAAAGAUCGCCAUUUUUAAGCAAUGAGAAGCAGCAGCUGUACAAACGCGAAGUCAGCCAUUAUUAUUGUUGUUGUUGCUGCUGCUGCUUCUUCCGUGUUGCUUUUGCUUCGAUAUUCACGCCAAGGUUUAUGCAAACGUAGCGACGUAACUGACGUAUACAGCGACGUAACUGACGUAUACAGCGACGUAACUGACGUGGCUUCCCUCAGCACCGCGAGCUAUGGAAAAGCAAACUGGUUCUCAGCUGGCUCGCAAGUUGAACGAGUUGUGAACCAGCACCGGCCCCGAACCAGCCCUGGAACUGAUUUGGUGGAAAAGGAGUAUGAGUGGAGAUAUUCAGAUGAGGAGGCGGGAUCAUUCUCAUCUAAUAAGCUCCGCCUGUGACGUAGAAAGAGGAGCCGAAUCUGAACGGCUUGUUGAAGCUCUUGUUUUCUAUAAUAGGCAGCGCAAAAAACUGGCUGGGUGUUUUAUUUCAGAGUUUGUGUGUUGGUUGGCUCAAGAUACCUAAAUGUAUGAGUACAAGCACUGAAAAAGUGAGGUGGGUUUUUUUUUUAAAUUAACAUUGCCUUCAGUCUGAAAUUUUCCGUCUGAGUGAAAUCAAAACUGGUGUUUCAGGGAUUUUGGUUCCUGUUUGUUAAAGUUAUGGACACGGAUACAAAACUAUAUUAGAGGGGAAAAAAACAACAUUCUGGAGUUAUUUUCCUUUAUGACUGUCCAAUUAAAUGCUGUCUACGAUCCUAUAGAUAGUUUUCACAUGACGUCACAGAGUCGGGGAUUCCCUGGUGGCGGCCAUCUUGGAGGGCUAGCUUACCGUACGGGUCACUGAGCACACAUUGUAGCGCGCGAGUUACAUUCAUUUAUAUAUUAUUUACAUUUAUAGUUACAUUACCACUAUUUAAAGCUAGCAAUGGUGCACACUUGUUGUAUUCACGGCUGUCGUAAUAGGUCAAAUGAUGAAGUCAAGCAGAGCUUUUAUGUAAUUCCCACUGUACGGGAGCACGAAGGCGAGCAGACAAAGAAACUCAGCAUACAAAGGAGGAAUCAAUGGCUUGCGAGAAUCAACCGCAAGGAUUUUCAGCCUUCCAAAUACAGCAGAGUCUGCUCCGAUCAUUUUAUAAGUGACGGAUGUUGUCCUCAGGCCGCAGCAGAGUGAACAUGGUCUGCAGGUGCUGCUGAAGAUCUCCUAAACAUGUCCUGGGAUGUCGUGCGAGUCUGAUUUCUGAUACCUGCAUGCUUGCUACGCUGUCCUGUGAUCCGUGAGGAGCAGAUGGAUGAGGAGGAGGAGCCAUUUCCCCUUGGGAGGAAGAGCGCGGCGCCUUUCACUGUUAGAAAGCUCUCGCUAAUGCUGAGGGGAAAUUAGCGAGACGGAAAACAAUGAAUCAUUCAUUCAUUCAUCUUUUUUUAUCCUGAUCAGGCCUAUACUUGGAACAUUGUGUGCAAGGCCAGAAUACACCCUUGAGGAGAUGCCAGUCUGUUAUCAUACACACAAAACACACGCACACACUUAGCAGCAAUUCAGAGUAGCUAAUAUAUCUACCAACAUGGUUCUGGGAGCUGAGAGGAAACCGUAUUGGUACAGAAAACCCACACAGAAAUGCAGAGAACAUGUAAAACUCCACACACACACACAGUAAUCCAAACUCAGGAUCAGUAGGACCAGUCUACUUUAAAUUAGAUUCACUUUAUUGAUCCCACAUCGGGGAAAUUCACGUGUUACAGUAGCAAGAAAAUGUCAUACAGAUAAAUAAAAACUGAAAUAAAAAUUAGACAAACGAAAGAUUAAAUACAGAGGGCUAUUUGCAUUAUCUACCUUGAAAAGUAUAGAAAUAUUGCCUUAUUGAGAGGCUCGGGAAAAAAAUAAUAAAUUGCACAUUACUACAGGUAGACUGUGUGUAAUAUAUAUUAUAUUGAGGUAUUUCACCUGACGUCACAGGGUCACGUGACGCCCCGGUGUCCGCCAUUUUGAACGUCAAGCUACAUACUAACGCUGCAGACAGAGAGGGAAAGCCAGCUUGAAAAAAAAACGUGUUACAGACACCUAGAAUAGAUUAAUUUGUCAGUAAGCACUCUAUAAAUAACCAUGGUGUUUGCUUGUUGUGUUGUGGGCUGCCACAACAGACAGGGACAGCAUGCAGGACGCUCCUUUUACCGGUUUCUAGUGAUGGGAAUUUCGGCUCUUUUUCGGGAGCCGGCUCUUUUGGCUCUUCUUACUAUAAGGAGCCGGCUCUUUCGGCUCCCAAACGGCUCCUGAGAUUUUAUUUUUGAUUUAAUUGCUGCAAUUAACUAGUUAAUUAAUUACAUUAUUAUUUAUAUUUUAUCAAUAGGAUGUUUUCCAUUUUAUUUUUUAGUUUUUGUAGCCAUUGUAAAGCUUUGUAAAGUAUAGCAGUGUAACAAUGGUCUAGCUAUAGAAAUAAAACUUACUUACCAAUUAAUAAAUUAUUUUCUCACAAACAUAAUGCAAAACUGUGUUAUAUUACCAAUAUAAAAUACACAGCUGAUUUUCCCCUCCUCAGGUGCCUCACAGACUCCUCUCCCCUGCGCUCCACAGCUUUAAGCAUUACACCAAUUUUCGUAUUUUCGCAGCUGUGAAUGACAUCAACCCCCCCAACCAAAAAAAGCAGGCGUACACCAUGCUACUUUUUUUCCUUUGAAUGGUAAUAGACAACACAAAGACGCAAUCGGACAGCAACUUUUUUUGUGAAAGUCUCUCUCUCUCUCUCUCUGAGGCACCUAAGGACAAAAAACUAAUUCGGCUCCCACCGAAGAGCCGGCUCCCGUCGUUCACUUCAAAGAGCCGGCUCUUUGAACCGGAUCGUUCGCGACCGACACAUCACUACCGGUUUCCUACUGACCCAGACAAGAGGGCCAAAUGGAUUGCAGCUGUGAAGAGACAGGAUUGGGAGCCAACAGAGUACUCCAGACUUUG